rnacentral:lncRNA from 1 species
UUGAUAAUUAAACAAUUUUUAAUACUAAUCACACCCCCCAACCAGCUUAUUGCUAGCCCUCUAGCAAUUAAAGCGUUAUAUUAAAUUAAGAUUUAUAAAAUUCACAUGCAAGUUAAUAGUUGUUCAUCUAUCCUCUAAAUUAUCAAAUAAAUGAACUCUCCCAAAUUUCUUUACCACAUUGAUGUUCACUCAUUAUCCAGAAUAUCAUCAAACCUUCUUUUGUGCUCUAAUAAUUAACACAAUACUUAUGGGGCUUCAUUAAAAGAAAGACAACAUUCUCGUUCCAAAAUUCAUUAGAAAUUAUAUCUUUAGGCAAUAGAUUAUUCACACACACACACACACACACACACACACACACACACACACACAUAUAUAUAUAUAUAUAUAUAUAUAUAUAUAUUUAAACUGAUUCUCUUCACAGUUCGUAAAUACAAUAAUUUGCAUCCAAUGUUAAAUUGAGUUGUGUUCACAUUUUCAUAAUCUUCUUCUACCUGGUCAUUAAUUUAUGUCAACAUAAGUUAAGAUUUAAUUAUCUUUAUAAUAUUAUCUAAUAAAUUAUUAAUUGAAUCUUUAUGAAAGAUCGGUCAAAAGUUUUAACUCAACAAUGAAUCCAAAUUUUGUAUACAUAGCAAACAAAAAUUAUUUUAAAAAAUGAAAAAUUACCAAAUCAAUCUAAUGAUAAUUAACAAUAAUUAUUUUAAAAACUACAGAAUAAUCAAAUUAAUUUGAGCAUAGUAUUUUUUACCAAUUGAUGUGGAACAAACAAUUCGCAUUAAGUUACCAAUCUGAUUUGUUAGAGAAGAUAGUGCUGCAAGCAUGUUUUCUACGUGUAUAUUACUCAUAGCCUCGUCCUAAUAUAUGGUUCAUAUGUGUCAAUAUCUAGAAGAGAUAGUGGGCAUAUUUAGAAGGUAUCGCAUAAUCAUAUUUAUGGCAAUUCUCACCAUAUUUAAGAAUUAGUUGACGUUAAAGAGUUGACUCUUCUGAGGCUGUUUUUUUUUUUUUUUUUUUUGAUGAAUGAGGCUGUUAAUUUUUUCUUUGCUAAAGGAGUUAAGUAAUGAUGAUGUGAAUUGAAAUGUUUGUGAUGCGCAUGCUCUCAUGCGGGCCACUAAUUUAAUGUUUAGUCCAUUUUAUGCAUAAUAGCAAUCAUCAGGACUGUGGUUUGGGAUUAGUUGUGGGUAGGAAUGUCAAUGGGCACCGCCUGCAGCGGGUUUGUUAUUAUCAAACCCAAACCCAAAUCUAAACUUGUAAAAAAUUUAAAUUAUUAAAUUCACCCACAACCCACAGCGGGUUUUAAUUUAAAAAAAAACACACCCACAGCGGGUUUUGACAAUUACCAAACCCGUCAAAACCUGCAAUGGUACCCGGCGGAUUUUUUUACGGGUUUCCGUAUUUAAAAUCAUAAAUUGUUAAUAUAUAAAUUUAUAAUAAUAACCUCAAAUUUCAUAUCACAUACUCAAUUUUAUAUUUAAAUAAUGUAAAUGAAAAAUUAAAAUUUCAACAUCAAUCCAACACAAAUUCUCAAAUUUAAGUAUAAAUUACACAAAUCCAUUUAAUCACUCAUUAUCCAGAAUAUCAUCAAACCUUCUUUUGUGCUCAAGUAAUUAACACAAUACUUAUGGGGCUUCAUUAAAAGAAAAACAACAUUUUCGUUCUAAAAUUCAUUAGAAAUUAUAUCUUUAGGCAAUAGAUUAUUCACACAUUUUUUAUUUUAUAUAUUACAUUUCUAACCCCGUGUAGCGAGCUUUAGGUCAGUGACUCCCAGACCAGUUGACCUUAGGGCACUAGGUGUUGAAGCACCCCUACAGACUUAAUUACUCGGGUUUCUAAUAAACAAACAAUAUAUCUAUUACCCAUGUAGCGAGCUUUAGGUCAGUGACUCCCAGACCAGUUGACCUUAGGGCACUAGGUGUUGAAACACCCCUACGGACUUAAUUACUCGGGUUUCUAGAUAUAACAAAAUUAAAAACAUUUUUUUUUUGCAAUAUACACUUUCUACUACCUUAGAUACUAUUCCUAAUAAAUCAAAAGAACUAAAUGCUGUAAAAUUUUAACUUACAACCCACUAGUAUGUGUCAUAAUGUGUGUGUGAAGAAUGAUUCAAUAAUACCUGUUAAAUGAGUAAAUAAUUAAAUAACUUAAUAACCAAGUGGAGAGUUCACAAAUUCGGGUAAUUCAAAGAAAAGGGAACAAAAACAAUUUACUAUGAAUCUCAAAAUCAAAAUAUAAUACAACAAGACUAUUAGGAUGCGUCUCAAAAGUCGUGACUCUUUACACGGCCAUCCUAGACAAAAACAAAAA